rnacentral:rRNA from 1 species
AAAGGUGAAAAGGACCCCGGGAGGGGAGUGAAAGAGAACCUGAAACCUUGUGCUUACAAGCAGUCAAAGCACGUUAACGUGUGAUGACGUACUUUUUGUAGAACGGUCCGGCGAGUUAUAGUAACGAGCAAGCUUAAGGUAUUGAGUACCGGAGGCGAAGCGAGAGCGAGUCUGAAUAGGGCGUAAAGUUCGUUGCCAUAGACCCGAAACCGGGUGACCUAUCCAUGAGCAGGCUGAAGUGAGAGUAAAAUCUCAUGGAGGGCCGAACCGACCCCCGUUGCAAUGGUGGCGGAUGACUUGUGGAUAGCGGAGAAAUUCCAAUCGAACUCGGAGAUAGCUGGUUCUCCCCGAAAUAGCUUUAGGGCUAGCGUUAUUUUAGAUUACCGGAGGUAAAGCACUGAAUGGUCUAGGGGCCGCGAGGUUACCAAAGCCUAUCAAACUCUGAAUGCCGGAUAAUUGAUGAAUAGCAGUCAGACUGUGUGAGAUAAGUCUCAUAGUCAAAAGGGAAACAGCCCAGAUCUACAGCUAAGGUCCCAAAUGAACACUAAGUGGAAAAUGAUGUGAAACUGCGAAGACAACCAGGAUGUUGGCUUAGAAGCAGCCACUCAUUCAAAGAGUGCGUAAUAGCUCACUGGUCGAGUGGUUUUGCGCAGAAAAUGUAACGGGGCUAAGUGUUCAACCGAAGCUUAGGCAUUGCAGUAAUGCAUUGGGUAGGGGAGCGUCGUAUGCGGGGCGAAGUCAGAGCGGAAGCACUGGUGGACUGCAUACGAGUGAGAAUGCCGGAAUAAGUAGCGAGAAUUAUGUGAGAAUCAUAAUGGCCGAAAAUCUAAGGUUUCCUGGGGAAGGUUCGUCCGCCCAGGGUUAGUCGGGAGCUAAGCUCAGGCCGAAAGGCGUAGGCGAUGCACAUACGGUAGAAAUUCCGUAACCACCGAACUUUAAGCUAGAGGGACGCUUUCUUUAAGGUUAUCCCGGGCGAUGGUUGCCCCGGGCGUAAGGGACCGAAAUUUAGUAGGGAAGUAACUGGCGAGAGAGACGAGAAAAGCUCUAGUGUAUACUAAGGUGCCCGUACCGCAAACCGACACAGGUAGAUGGGAUGAGUAUUCUAAGGCCAACGGGAGAAGGGUUGUUAAGGAACUCGGCAAAUUGGCCCCGUAACUUCGGGAUAAGGGGCGCCUGCGAGAGCAGGCCGCAGUGAAAAGGCCCAAGCGACUGUUUAGCAAAAACACAGCUCUCUGCUAAAUCGAAAGAUGACGUAUAGGGGGUGACGCCUGCCCGGUGCUGGAAGGUUAAGGGGAGUGCUUAGCGCAAGCGAAGGUGCGAACUUAAGCCCCAGUAAACGGCGGCCGUAACUAUAACGGUCCUAAGGUAGCGAAAUUCCUUGUCAGGUAAGUUCUGACCCGC